GCUGCUAUACAUGCAGUCGAACGAGGUGCUUGAGUAGCAAUACGAGAGUAUCCUAGUGGCGAACGGGUGAGUAACGCGUUGGUGACCUACCCCAAAGUGUGGGAUAACAGUUCGAAAGGACUGCUAAUACCGCAUGUGGUUAUUGGAUUUAGAAACUGAUAACUAAAGGAGCAAUUCGCUUUGGGAGGGACCUGCGUCCCAUCAGCUAGUUGGUGAGGUAAUGGCUCACCAAGGCUACGACGGGUAGGGGACCUGAGAGGGUGACCCCCCACAAUGGAACUGAAACACGGUCCAUACACCUACGGGUGGCAGCAGUAGGGAAUAUUGCACAAUGGGCGAAAGCCUGAUGCAGCAACGCCGCGUGUGCGAUGAAGGCCUUCGGGUCGUAAAGCACUUUUCUGAGGGAUGAGCAAGGACAGUACCUCAGGAAUAAGUCUCGGCUAACUACGUGCCAGCAGCCGCGGUAAAACGUAGGAGGCAAGCGUUAUCCGGAUUCACUGGGCGUAAAGCGCGUGCAGGCGGUUCGGUAAGUUGGGCGUGAAAUCUCCUGGCUUAACUAGGAGAGGUCGUUCAAUACUACCGGACUUGAGAGUGAUAGAGGAAGAUGGAAUUCCCGGUGUAGUGGUGAAAUGCGUAGAUAUCGGGAGGAACACCAGUGGCGAAAGCGAUCUUCUGGAUCAUUUCUGACGCUCAGACGCGAAAGCUAGGGUAGUAAACGGGAUUAGAGACCCCGGUAAUCCUAGCCGUAAACG
rnacentral:rRNA from 1 species